rnacentral:rRNA from 1 species
UACGUAGGGGGCUAGCGUUGUCCGGAAUCAUUGGGCGUAAAGAGCGCGUAGGUGGCUUUAUAAGUCCGUUGUGAAAGUCAAAGGCUCAACCUUUGAAAGCCGAUGGAUACUGUGAAGCUAGAGUACGGAAGAGGCGAGUGGAAUUCCUGGUGUAGUGGUGGAAUGCGCAGGAUAUCAGGAGGAACACCAAUAGCGAAGGCAGCUCGCUGGGACGUUACUGACACUGAGGCGCGAAAGCGUGGGGAGCGAAACAGGG